GCCAGACUCCUACGGGAGGCAGCAGUGGGGAAUAUUGCACAAUGGGGGAAACCCUGAUGCAGCGACGCCGCGUGAGUGAAGAAGUAUUUCGGUAUGUAAAGCUCUAUCAGCAGGGAAGAAGCAAGACGGUACCUGACUAAGAAGCCCCGGCUAACUACGUGCCAGCAGCCGCGGUAAUACGUAGGGGGCAAGCGUUAUCCGGAUUUACUGGGUGUAAAGGGAGCGUAGACGGUCCUGCAAGCCAGAUGUGAAAGCCCGGGGCUCAACCCCGGGACUGCAUUUGGAACUGUAAGGCUAGAGUGUCGGAGAGGCAGGCGGAAUUCCUAGUGUAGCGGUGAAAUGCGUAGAUAUUAGGAGGAACACCAGUGGCGAAGGCGGCCUGCUGGGCUUUUACUGACGCUGAGGCUCGAAAGUGUGGGGAGCAAACAGGAUUAGAUACCCCGGUACC
rnacentral:rRNA from 1 species